AGGUGCCAUCGUUCGCUGAGGCUCCUUCACGGAAACACGCCAGCGACCCCAAACGUCCAGAGACGCCACGGGUCAGGACAGGCCUUCCCGGCUUAAGGGUUGGCCCCGAUUGGCUCCUCGGCUCACGCCGAGGUCGACGCCGUGUAGUGCCAAAGGUCUUACGAGGAAGGCGUAC
rnacentral:sRNA from 2 species